CUGGAGCGUGACAUGGAUUCAGCUAUCUGUGGAGUAGUGCCUUCAAAACAAAUUCUUCACCGGGCUGCAAUCCUUGUCACGCCGGUCU
rnacentral:pre_miRNA from 1 species